rnacentral:rRNA from 1 species
UAACGGCGAGUGAAGCGGCAAAAGCUCAAAUUUGAAAUCUGGUACCUUCGGUGCCCGAGUUGUAAUUUGGAGAGGGCAACUUUGGGGCCGUUCCUUGUCUAUGUUCCUUGGAACAGGACGUCAUAGAGGGUGAGAAUCCCGUGUGGCGAGGAGUGCGGUUCUUUGUAAAGUGCCUUCGAAGAGUCGAGUUGUUUGGGAAUGCAGCUCUAAGUGGGUGGUAAAUUCCAUCUAAAGCUAAAUAUUGGCGAGAGACCGAUAGCGAACAAGUACAGUGAUGGAAAGAUGAAAAGAACUUUGAAAAGAGAGUGAAAAAGUACGUGAAAUUGUUGAAAGGGAAGGGCAUUUGAUCAGACAUGGUGUUUUGUGCCCUCUGCUCCUUGUGGGUAGGGGAAUCUCGCAUUUCACUGGGCCAGCAUCAGUUUUGGUGGCAGGAUAAAUCCAUAGGAAUGUAGCUUGCCUCGGUAAGUAUUAUAGCCUGUGGGAAUACUGCCAGCUGGGACUGAGGACUGCGACGUAAGUCAAGGAUGCUGGCAUAAUGGUUAUAUGCCGC